rnacentral:lncRNA from 1 species
GAAAUGAAGCAUUCAGAAUAUGUAGUAGCGUAUCUGAAGCAUUGAGUUACAUGCCAUUUUCGCUGCAAUACACUGAGCCUAACACUAAGAAUGAUCUAUGGGUAUUUUGGAGCCAACACAAUAGCGAGUUUCCUACUGUCUUCUCCAGCAGUAAGUGCCUUAUCCCCCUUUAUGUCUAUGGUCUAUGGAUUGGUAUUUACCCUAUAUAACAUCCAGAUUAUAUGAUACUAGGGGUUUCAGACUGUCGGGUCUGGUCGGAUAUGGGUGGAUCGAAAACGGUUAAUGCAAAAACAGAUAAAUUAUCAUAUUCGACCUAUAUUUAAUACAACAAACAACAACCAAGUAUAAUCCCAGUAUAAUCCCACUUAGUGGAGUCUGGGGAGGGUAGUGUGUACGCAGACCUUACCACUACCCUAGGGUAGAGAGCCUGUUUCCAAAUAGACCCCCGACAUCCUUCCCUCCAAGAACUUCCCACCUUGCUCUUGGGGAGACUCGAACUCACAACCUCUUGGUUGGAAGUAGGGUUGCUUACCAUCAGAGCAACCCCUCUUGUCUUACCAUCAACCCAUAUUUAAUAAGGAUAGAAAAUGGGUUAAGCAAAAGAAUUUCUAGUCUCCUAAGCUUCAGAAAAGGAAUCCUCAAUUUGAGUGUUUUACAAAUGUAAAAGUUAAACUCAUUAGUUAUGGAUUGGUUAACCAUUGGUUAUCCAUUAAAAUAGAUAAUAUGGUUCUUAUCCAUAUUUGACCCGUUUUUAAAAAGUUCAUUAUCCAACCCAUUUUUUAGUGGAUAUGGAUAACUGUUUUUUAACCAUUUUGCCACCACUAUGUAACUCAACUCACUUAUUUGGAGAAUGAUGCCUAUGGCCUAUGGGUUCUCACUUUGUCCCUUCAUUUAGUUUUACCCCUGGCUAGAUUCUUGUGAGUUAAUGCAUAGGAGUAGUGGCACUCAUUGUGUUUAUUGGGUGCCUUUUUUGCUUAUGGAGAUCAAUUUGACAGAUUUUGAUACUAAAUUGGACAAUAUUAAUUUACUUAGACUAAAAUUUGGAAAUUAUGUUAUGAUAUGGAACUUAAGCCUAAUUCAAUCUCACAAGCUGGUUCAUAAAGUAACGAUUGAGCAAGACCAUAUAAGUAGACCAGCUCGUUCCCCAUCCACUACCAAUUUGGGAGUCUAACUCAUGAAGUAUCAUGCGUAUAUACCCAACAAUGUGGCCUAGUAGUCAAUAAAGUUGGUGGAAAUCAAUUUCAGGGUUCAAAUCCUAGCAGUGACAAAAUAUGUGCUAGGCGAUUUCUUCCCAUAUGUGUAAACUUUGGUUGGUAGAGUUACCUCGUAUCUCGGAGAUAGACAGAUAGCAUGUAGCGGAUGGCAUAGUCGAGGUGUACGUAGGCUGACCCCAACACCAACGUCAUAAAUGAAGUUCCAUAAGGACAAACUUCUUCAUAUCAGGUGGCAAAGCAUUGAAUUUUCUAUCUUACUCAAUGUUCACUUUGUUGAAUCAGAGGAGCAGAAAAGUGACAAACCUUUUUCCCCACAGAUUGUAGUACUCUCUAAAAUCUUAAUAAUGUUGGACUUCAAUCUUAUCAAAGUAAGUGAUUAAAGUAAUAGUCAAUCAAUGCCUCUAGCUUAGAGAUUAUUUUCUGGUACUUCUCUUGAUCUGGCUUGUGGAACUUUAAGUGGUGCCCAGGAGUUGAUAUACUCCAACUAUCCUAAUACUUCAAAAGAGUCACUUUGCACAACUUAUGAAGAUUGGUUCAUGUCAUUGUUAGAUUUAUUCAAGUUUUAGCGAUAUAAAAAUUAGAGCAGUUAAAGUAAAAAUUCAGGCUUGUAUGUUUUGAACACUAAAUAAUAGUUUCGAAUCAUGGUGCAAAAGUUCUCUGAAUCAGAUGAAGGAAAAUACCAGAGCAAAGUGAAGCCAGUAAAACGAACAAGGGGAGGUAGUAACUAACUUGCAACUCUCAUUCAUGUUACUCUGCGGAGCACUGCAUAACAGAGGAGGGCCUACACUAUAGGUUGAGGGAUCACCGAUAACCGGAAACUUGGGCAAAAACUCCAUAUAUACUUGCAAAUCUCUUAAAAAAAAUAGUCAGAUAUUAGCAUAGGCCCCUGUACCAAUGUAUAUGAGCAGUAAUAAAUUUAUAUUGAAUGCCAUAGUGCCGCAGCGACCACCGAAUCCUGGACCCCCCUAUGCUGCAUAAGUAUUCUUAAGUGUAAACUUGAGCUUGUUUAUCACUCCUAUAACUUAUGCAAUCAUGUUGAAGUUCUAAUCUUGUUCUUUUUAGGAGUGCACCAUUGGUGGUGCUGCUUAUUUGUUUCACCUGUUAUCUGUUAAUGCAAAUUCCCAAGGAUUUGAUAAUGAUAACUUUUGUUACUUGAUAAGAUGAGCGAAUUUUAAAUGAGUCGGGUUUAGAUUGGGGAAUAUGAAGUCUUUGAGCUUAUGGAUCAUGUCUUGAAUAUUGAGGAGUUUGAAUUGAAUAUUUAACCAGUUUUUCAGUAUGAUUGCUACGUAUCCAUCUUUCUGAAUGAGUAAAGUGACUAAUAUCAUAAACAAACUUUUUACAGCUGCUUACACUACUAUCUAUCAUGAUACCAUCAAGGAGAAAAUCACAUCAGCUCUCAAGAAUGCCUACAUUUCUGACAACUUCGGAUGCUGGUUGGUUCAAUUUUGGGCACCUAUAACCACUAACAAUCAGAUUUUUCUAACAACUUGUAACCUACCUUUUGGUCUUACGAAACUCCAUGAAGGACUUUGUUUUUAUAGGUCAGAGUGUCUGAAAUUUAGAGUUCCUAUUGUAACUGAUUGUUCUGAGAAUGAGUAUCGACUUGGUCCUAUUGGACGCGUGUUCAAACAUGGUUUGCCUGAAAUGAGUCCAGAUGUUUCUCGUUGUUCUGAUAAUGAGUAUCGACUUGGUCCUAUUGGACGCGUGUUCAAACAUGGUUUGCCUGAAAUGAGUCCAGACGUUUCUCGUUAUUCUGCCAAUGAUUAUCCUCAGCAUGGCUUGGUCUCAGCUGCUGGUUUAGGGAACUAUUU